GUUUUGGCUCCUGCGGCGGGGGUGGUGGUUCUGGACAAUUACCAAUAUAUAUAUUUUGACAAGCUACUAUUUCUUUUGCCAAGCAUGGAGAUGCGGUCAACGAGUAGCAACGCCGCUCCAGUAGGUGAAGAGGAGGAAGAUCUAACUGGAGAUGAAGCUAUAGAAGCCAGACGAGAAGCGUUGCUGCCGCUUCGAAGAAAACUGCCAAAAAAACAGUCAUUUGCGGAAUCAUUACUUCAGAUUUUACAAGAAAAGAAGGCGCAAGAAAAUGACCAAGAAACAAACUUUGCCCUUUCUUUAGUGCCAAUGUUAAAAGC
rnacentral:lncRNA from 1 species